rnacentral:rRNA from 1 species
UGAGGAACAUGACCUUCGGCGGGGGAUAGCCGGCCCAACGGCCGGGUAAUACCGCGUACGACCUUCCGGGGACAUCCCUGGAUGGUGAAAGCAGCAAUGCGCCGAUGGAGUGCCUCGCGGCCUAUCAGCUAGUUGGUGAGGUCAUGGCUCACCAAGGCGACGACGGGUANCUGGUCCGAGAGGAUGACCAGCCACAUUGGGACUGAGACACGGCCCAGACUCCGUAGG